GAAUAUUUAUUUUUGAUUAUUAUGAGAUGAAAUUUUAAAAUUUUGGCGGUUAGUUAUUUAUCAGAGGAGCUUGUGACAUAGAAUUUACUCUUUAUAUUUUUCUUAUUUUUGUUUAUUUAUCUCCGUUAUUAGAUUAAAUCGGAAAAGUAGAAGCUAUUAUUCCAGGUCAAGAUGUAGCAAAAAUUUGUUUAAAUUAGCUACAAUUAUUAGUUAUAGUGGAAAUUUGAGGUGAAUCAUUUAUUGAAAUUGAAUUUGGUUGUAACAGUAAUUAGAGAAUUAAUGUGGAAUAAUAUAAUUA
rnacentral:rRNA from 1 species